UUAUUGUACCUCGGCAUUGUUGUACCAAAAAGGUUCCUGCUUAUUUCAAUUGUUUAGCAUAAUAACCAUUUACAUAAAGAGGAAACAUAUGAUCAUGCUGAUUAGAUACUUACAUAAUAGCUCCAUACAAUGUACAUUCAUUUCAGUAACUAUGUUAUACAAUAGACCUUGAUUGCUAUAAGCCUUCUUUUUGCAAUAGUAUUUGAUGAAAGUAUCAGAACCAGCCGCAUGUCUAAUUCCAAGAUUUUAGAUUCCCUGGGAGAAAAGAAGAGAAAAAGAUGUUAAACCUACGUAGACCAUACCUUUAGUAUUUUGCUAAAAGUUGAAUAUACAAAUUUGAGUGAACUCUAUCCCAGAUGCAAAAAAUAUUAGUCGAACUGCAAAAAGGCAUGUGCAAAUUGCAGGUAAAUGCACCCCAAAAAGAGCAAAACAUGUAAAGCAAGUGCAGAAUGCACGAAUGAAAACGCAGAGCGCAAAAAUAAGUGCAAAAUGCAGGAAAAUAUACAAAAUAUAGAAGAAUAUGGUGCAGAAACUGAAAAGCAAGUGCAUACUGCACAAAUAUGGAGCAGAAACUGAAAAUAGUGUAGAAAACAGAAAAAAAUAAUGCAGGAACCCCCUCCCCCAAAUAAAAAAAAAGCAACAAUUGAAACUUUGCUGGGAAGAUAAAAUUAUAGGAAUCAUUACUAACAGAGUAUGGGAAGAACUUUUCUCUGGAAUGCGGGUCAACGGGCAUUUUGCAUCAGUGGAAACUUGUCCCGCUUCUCUUUUCGCAACUGGUUUUACCUAUAAAGUUGAGAUCCUAUCCUAGAAUAUCAUUCAUCAGUCCUAAAUUUUCCUUUGUCUAUUAGACAAACUCUACCUGAAGUUCUAUCAGACUUGUCUCUAUUAGACAAAGCCUCCCUAAAGGUCAUGUUUAAUAUUUAGAUAAAAUGUUCUUGUUCUUUUAUAUGAAGCUACUACCGACCACAAAUUCCAUCAAUACUUAGGUUAUUUAAGUAGUUACAACUAAUGGCUUCAUGCGUCACAUAAUAUGUUUUAAUCAAGUAAUUAUUCAAUUAAGGCAUAGACAAUGUCAACUUUCUUCAAUAAUUUUGCGGGGGAAUGCUCAUAAAUUGUGCACAAAUGAAAUAGAUCAGCUCUGGAACAUCGUUUCUAAUUUUUUGGAUAGGCGAAUCUAUUGACACAUACUUCUUAUUGGAGAGUGCAUAAAGUGUUAGCAUCCCCUUUGGUAUACCACAACGAACCGGCAGUACCCCAGUGUCUUCCUUUAAGCUCUCACGUGUUUGACAGCAUGUAUCCACACCAUUCAUAAGACACAAAAAACAGUAGCAAAUAACUUCUGAAAUUUUCAACAACAAAAUACCUACUGACCUUAAGGGAUGAUCUGGUGGAACUUCUACUGGUACAAGUUUCAGUGAAAUAGGUUACACCAUACCGCCUUAGUUGAGAAGUAAUUUGGUCUCAAUUGUUGAUCUUCAUGCUCUGAAUGCAUUUUGUCUAAUGAAAUGUAUUAACACACGAAAAGCUGCAACAUAUUUGCACAUUUUCAAUCUAAAUUGUAUGGCACAAGUCGGAGGCUAUUAUAUAUAGCAAGUUUAUCACUUUCAACCAUGUCAAGUCAAUUUAGCCCAGCUUUAUUCCAUCAUUAGAGUGAACUACAAGUUAUACGUAGUAUUAAAAUGGAGAUUUAGUUUCACAGAGCACUGUACACGACCUAUUCGAAUCAACCUGUUUUUUUGAAAAUUGAAAUUUGCUCCAUAUCAAACAGGUUCCACAGAUAAAAAUUAAUGAUCGAAAAACAAAUUUAGGUUUUACUAAAUCUUCAUUGCACCAUAACAGUUAUAAAUGCAAUUAAAUUAGAGAGAAAGAGGGGGCCGGGCUUCCACUCCGCAAGCAUAUGGCAACAAAAGUUCUUAUGUUUUCCCCUUGAACAUUUACUGCAUCUUUUACAAAAAUAUCUAGCCAACCAAUGAAAUGUAAAAGUGCAUCUGAUUAGGUAGCUGAGCCAUAACUGAGAAUAAAGUUCAUCAUCAGCUCAAACUAUAUAUAUGCGUGUUUGUGUAUGUUUAUCAUCUAAAUAGCUCUUUGUAUCGACAUUUAACUACCAAAUUUUACAUUAAUUUAAUAGCUAUCUAGCUGUAGUGACAUCAUUCUAAAGUAUGUAUGAACACAGAACAUUAAUGGAUUCAAGUAAUAACUAAACCAAAUGCAAUAUAAUUUCUGAAUCUAGAAGAAAAUGCCAUCAGUAAGAUAAAUCGAGAUUCUGGGGGUGCUUUUCAUAAUGUUGUUGCGCACACUGAUGAUUUCACUCUCUCGAAGAGGCGUGAAAGUUUUGCAGACACACGGCUGGGAGAAAAAGAAAUGAAAAUCUUACCCAAUUUAUGUCAAGAGCUUCUUUUAGCACCUUCAAGUCACUUCUUUUCCGCUAAUGGAGGGGUUUAGCUGCAAAAAUAAAUAACUUCAACCCUAAUUCACUAAACUAUAUAGUUAACAAUUGCUUGUUCACUUUCUAUAACAGUGUAAAAAUUUAACAUGGCUUAAAAUAGCAUUCACUAAAUUGUUUGAACGCAUACAUAAGGCAUGACUUUUAUAUAAGCAAGCUAAAUUAUGCGGUAACUUUAAAGUAAACUCCACACAAUGGCCUCACAAGUGAUGGCACAUAUAUCAACCAACGAACAUAUUCGAGAGGAUGAGCAAUCUUUCAAGUUUAUCCCAGAAUAAUCAGGAUUGGGGAUAAGAGAUGACGUAUAGGUUCUGAAGCUAAACUAUGCAGUUUAGCAUCAAGGUUACAUAGUGCUUAUUAAUUGACAUCGUGGCUGACAUCUUCUCAAACUCAGAUAUCUAUUCUGCAAUUAUAGGUAACACAACACAAGUGUGAGCUAUGAUUGAUGUAGAAAUGGACUCUUAGAAAACAAAAACAAAAAGAUAUAGAAGACAGAAAUCCUUUGCUUCUAGAUAAUUGAUAAGAAAAUCUUUGCUUCCAGAUAAAAUAGCUAUGACUCUAGAUAAUGAAAUGUGUAGCUAUUUGCAGCUUGAUGAACACCUUGAUUACUAUCUUGUUUCUUAUUUAAUAAUAGUGAAAACUUUCAAAUAGAUGCAAGUUCCAUUUGUUCCAACUUCCUUGAAAAGCCCAUGAGUCCUCUCAUGCAUAGAAUAUAGGUGUACCUCUCAGACCCAGAGGCGGAUCCAGAAUUUAGAGUUUAUGGGUUCCUAUAGCGACCUUAAAUAAAUAUACAAUAAGUAAAUGAGUUCACAAUCAAAUAUUUAUGGAUAUUUAAUAGAUUUUGUAAUAUAUAUACAGGGUAUAUACAAAAGCUACUGGGUUCCCGGGAACCCACAUGUAAUAGGCUGGAUCCAGACCAUCGAUGACUGUUUCACAAACCCAAGAACCAACAGAGAAUCUCAGUUAUUUUCCCAAUAACCAUCCUAAUCUUAAAAAGAUGUCUGCAUAACCUCAUUGUCAAUGAAAAGAAACUAAGAUAUGUAUUUUUAAUGAUUUUCUGGCACGAAUAAGAUUUCACACACUGAUGCAAGUGCUUUGACAGCAAGCAUUCGCGCUUUGGCAUCUCUAUAAUUUUGCAUCUCUAUAAAUUUACAUAAUACAAAGUAGGGGUGACAAAAUGGUUAAAAGAACACAGUUAACCACCCAUUUGACGGUAGUAGCCCGCCAAACCCAGGAAACUAUGGAUCUCUGUAUGAUGUGGGUCUAGGCCAGUUCUGAACUGCCUUAAUCUUUCUAGGAUCCACCUGAAUACCCUCUGCUGAUACAACGUGACCCAAGAAAGCAACUGAACUCAACCAAAACUCAGAUUUUGAGAACUUAGCAUAUAAGUGGCUGUCUCUUAGAGUCUGAUGAACGAUCCGAAGGUGCUGCUCGUGCUCCUCUUUGCUGUGGGAGUAGACCAAGAUAUCAUCAAUAAACACAAUCACAAAGGAAUCCAAGUAGGGUUUGAACACCCGGUUCAUCAAAUCCAUGAAUGUUGUUGGGGCAUUUGUCAGCCCAAAUGACAUAACUAGAAACUCAUAAUGCCCAUACUGAGUCCGAAAAGCUAUCUUAGGGAAAUCGAAUGCCCUAAUCCUUAAUUGAUGGUAGCGAGAUCUCAAAUCAAUAUUNNNNNNNNNNNNNNNNNNNNNNNNNNNNNNNNNNNNNNNNNNNNNNNNNNNNNNNNNNNNNNNNNNNNNNNNNNNNNNNNNNNNNNNNNNNNNNNNNNNNNNNNNNNNNNNNNNNNNNNNNNNNNNNNNNNNNNNNNNNNNNNNNNNNNNNNNNNNNNNNNNNNNNNNNNNNNNNNNNNNNNNNNNNNNNNNNNNNNNNNNNNNNNNNNNNNNNNNNNNNNNNNNNNNNNNNNNNNNNNNNNNNNNNNNNNNNNNNNNNNNNNNNNNNNNNNNNNNNNNNNNNNNNNNNNNNNNNNNNNNNNNNNNNNNNNNNNNNNNNNNNNNNNAGACACUAGGUUUAAUAAAGCCCUUAUCAAGCAAAUCUUGUAAUUGUUCCUUCAAUUCUUUCAACUCUGGCGGGGCCAUGCGGUAUGGCGGAAUAAAAAUGGGUUGAGUGCCCGGAGCCAAAUCAAUAUAGAAAUCACUGUCCCUGUCGGGUGGCAUCCCCGGCCAUAGUUAAGUUUCCAAAAUACAACUCGAUCCAACGACCGCUCCAACAUACAUACAUGACCCACAAAAACAUCUACGGAGCCUCUAAGGAUACAAAAGAGCAACAUAACAAUGCCGGCAACAAGGCCCUGUCUAUACCUCAAAAUGUGAAAACUUAUACAAAGAAGGACUACAUGACCCCUGGGAGAAAUGGGGUCCACCAAAACUGCUGUGAGGAGAGAAAGAGAGCACCACUAUCUGCGUUGGAACCACCUACAUCCAUUCAAAGAUGUAGUGUCCCCGGCAAAAGGGACGUUAGUACUGUCGAAUAACACUAGUAUGUAAGGCAAACACCAAUCUCAGUAGAAUGAACAGUGAAACAAAGAGAAGGCAGUCACAAUAAUCAAUAAGUACUUCAUGAAAAUACAAGAAAAAUGGGUUGGAUAAUGAACUUUUUAAAAAUGGGUCAAAUAUGGAUAAGAACCAUAUUAUCCAUUUAGAAAAUGGAUAACCAAUGGGUAACCAAUGGAUAACUAAUGUGUUUAAUUUUUACAUUUGUAAAGCCUCAAAUUGGGGGUUCCUCAAGUUUGGGACUAGGAAUUCUCCCAAAAGUGUUCAUAUUCAAGAAGUCAUGGAUAAUAUGGUUACCUAUAUAUUAUCCGUCGGCUAACCCGUUUUUUAUCCGUAUUAAAAAUGGGUCGGGUCGGAUAAUUUAUCCGCUUUUUCAUUACCCGUUUUCGACCCGAACCAUAUCCAACCCGACCCGCCCGUUUGCCACUCCUAAUACAAAGCAUAAUUGACCAUCAAAAUAGAAAUGUGUUACUUCAUUCCUUAUCAGUAUCCAAUUAAAGUAGAAGAGGCACCUCUUAAAACCUCAAUUUCAAGCUUCAGAAGGAUAUGUGAACUAUCAUUUAGCUAGAAACUUAAGCAUUUACUCCCCAAAGCCAGAAGGUAAGCAGGAGCAUAGGAGCAAAGCACUUUACUGCUCACUACUCAAUUUAUUACCAUUGAGUAAGUGCCAGUAUCAAUCGGUUAAUAUGAUUUUAUCUCGCCUUUUCCAUUCCCCUGCGAUGUUAUAUUCCCAUUAAUUGCACUAAAGAAAAAGUUUAAAUGAGAUGCUUUAUUAUUUAGAGAUUAUUAUAAAGAUAAUUCAACUGCUAUACCAAUUACAUUAAAGUAACUAGUCAUGUUGAUGUCACAUUACUUUCAUUAGUCAAGUAUAUUUUUUCCCUUUUUCUUUGUUAUAUAUUAUUUGUCUUGGGUAGUUAAGUACCCUUUCGUAUUAUAAGUGACACACACAUUCAAGUUAAUUUGAUCUAACAAUGAAUAUUUCUUGACAAACAUCCAAAUUAAAUUAAUAGAACCUUCAAAGAAAGAAAGAUGUAUAUAAAACUGAGAACCACUCCCCCAACAUCAUUUUAUUCAGCAGAUCCUACAAUAAGUUUAAGGAGGAUAUAACUAAAUUCAAUUUAAUAAUACACCUUAACCAAUCAAAAUGUGUGGCAAAAAAGUCUAACCUCAUAACUGUGACAUUUAGCAAAGUUACCUAAGUAAAUUUCAGGAAUUCUUCAAGCGCAUGAUCGUUGAACUUCUUUUCAUCUUGGUGAACCGCUACGAACUCAGCCAAAAGCUACUAAGGUUUCAAGCUCUCUUUCCAUAAACUUCAACCCAGUAAAGCCAAAAAUCAGUCUAAAUAACAUCAUAUACAUAUUCUUUUUCAAACAAGAUCUACUUAUCUUAGUCCACGCCAACAACAUUGCAGACAACACUAACUGAAUCUUUCUUAGGAAACAAGAACACAACGUGGGGAUAUGCCUUGAAAGAAGCAACAAUGCCUCAUUGUGGUAAAAGAAAAUUGAUUAUUCCCUAGAUUUCAGGUUAACAGUAAGGCCCUUAUUAUUGAACCACACUCUCGUACCUCGCACGUUUUGAGCUAUUUUACUACCAAUGUUGAAAAUAAGCAAGAUAAAGGCAACCAAAAUUAUUGAAAGAACAUAAAUGCAUGCAUUACUGACCUUUCAGGAUUUCGUUCAUAUAGCCUUUCUUUAUUUUAAAUUGGUAUGUCACACAAUUCUGUUUGUGUGUAAUCAAAGAAAUUCUCGUUUUCUUUACACCUUCCUGAGCUGAGGGUCUAUCGGAAACAGGCUCUCUGCCCCAUCGGGGUAGAGGUAAGGUCUGCGUACUCACUACCCUGCCCAGACCCCAUUUGCGGGAUUUUACUGGUCAUCGUUGUUGUUGUAUAGCCUUUCUUUAUUUUCAUUGAGUUCCUUUUAGUGCCAGUUUUUGCAACCAAAUUGACACAAAAUAUUCAGAAGUAGACAUGCAUAAGCAGAAAAUAACAUAGUCCACCAGUUGUGCAGGAAUGAAAUAUCUAUAGAUAGUGAAAAAUAAAAAAUAAUAUUGUACAUAUCUUAAAUACAACACUUACUUUGUGAAUUAUGGCAACUACUGCAUCCAAGAUCUGACUAUUGAAAGGUUUAAAUACAACGCAGUAUUCACCGGCAUUUUUUCCAAUCUGUUUGUCACCAACAUCAACAUCAUUGCCAGAGCUUCAAAAAAUUCAUCGUCGCCUGAAGCUAGAAGUCCAGCGAUUUAGUUUUAUCUUUCUGUAACCUUUUACUUGCAUAGAGAAGUCCUUUAAAUAAAAUUUAUUUUCACAUUAUAACUUGUACACCUAUACUUGGCCAAGAAAAAAUUAGGUAGACAAAAAAAGAAUCACCAAUGACAGCUUUUUGACCAUCUCAACUUUAAUACCAUGGCCAAUUACCAAAUAGCGACACAUCUAACUGAAAUAACAAGUAAAAUGCAAAAAGCUACUAUUGCUUUUAGCCUUCUAUAAGUAUUUCUACAUUUGUAUAAAUUUUAUGAAAAAGUUUCCCAAUUCACAGGAAUGUAAAACUUUGCAUAGUUGAAGGUAGUCAUAAUUUACUCGAUAAUACAAAAGAGAAACAAAAGAAAUUCUUACCAAAUAGUUUUGUGUUGUUUCAGGCAUAUCGCGCCGAACACCUUGGGUCCAUCCGUUUGCAGAGUUUAAAAUCUCAUCAUCUUGAAUAAAAAUUGAAAAAUAACCGAAAGAAUAAAGUAAAAGAAGAGUAAAAAAUUAAAAACAUUCAGAUGGAAAGUAUUACUAACUAUAAAAUAUAUUAAGAUUUACAGAUAUAGAACACAAUGAAAGUACGUUUACAAAUAAACCGAUAUUAUCACCAAUUAAAUUUCUGGUACUGUAGCACAGACCCAAUCUUCCAACAAAAAGCAUAAUACAAUAGAUUUUUGUAUCGACAUUUCGAUUUACAGUUAGUAAUUAGUGCCAAAAGACGAAUGAGUAAGCCAAAAUAAUAUAAAUUAUAUGCACCAGGUACAAUCUCAAACAUGCAUGUGCAGAUCAGAUAGACUUACUGACAUGUAUGUAAAAUAUCUAGCUAGAAAUUAUGCGAAAGAGAAAGAAAACUAAAAAUGAAGCAAAAAUAGACAAUCCUUCAAAGGAAAAAUUACUUUGAAUUACUACAAUCUUUCGGUGAUGGGCAGAAAUUACUGCAAGAAAGGGAAAAAAAAAGGGAAAAACUUACCAGAAGUAGCGAAUGAAAUAAAAGCUAGAAAAUUAGAAACCGAAAAUGGAUGAUACCCAGAAGCGAUGAGCAAUUAUCAGAUAGAGGAAAAAGAAAUAUAGAGGAGUGGGAGAGAGAUAUGAAUAUAGAAAUUGCUGAUUGAUAGGACUGUUGAGGAAGAAGAGAGGGAAUACCAAUUUACCCAUAAAGUGGAUUACAUUUACCAUAAUGCCCUUUGUCGUACCCAAGAACCUUUGCUUAUUAUUUAUAUAGUUAAAAAU
rnacentral:lncRNA from 1 species